ensembl:lncRNA
GGAUGUUGGUGGUAUGGCAGUAGAGGUUUGUAGCAGAAAUGCUAAAUGACAGCUUGAAACUGACUGAGCACCUGGUGGGAAGGCAGGGCCAACCCAGGGGAGCUCAGCUGUAUGCAAUUUGUUCAAGUGACCAGAAGGGGUGGAACCAGGAUCCUCCCCUUCCCAUACCACAUUUAAGGGUUGGCAGUGGAAGCAAAGUUACCUUGUUGGAGGUUCUUGUCUUUGUGAGGCCUUGUGAAGUCAUCAAAUGAUUUGGGACCAUUUGGCUCCUACUCCACCUGGCCUACUGACAUCUGUUGGGAUCACGUGUUUGUUGUGGGACUGCUACUGAGAUGGUGACAACACCUGGAAGAAAAAGAAGGAAAGGAGAAAGCUACCUCUUCAAAAAGCAGAAUAAUCUCAUUGAUUAUCACUUUGAUGCAUUAUUUAUCAUAUAAGUGUAUACAGGUGGCCACUUUACCAGAUGGACUGCCAUUGCACAUGUGAAAUAGAAGUUGCUGAGUGAUUGCCUUUUUCCCUUCCUUGCUGUCUAGAAACUUACUUUCUUUAGCUGCCACAUGCACCAAUGGCAAGUAAGUAACUUGGCCUCCUGAACACAUCAUAUUAACAGAAACAGCCAAAGUAUUUAUGGAAGACGUGAAUGGAAGUUGGGAUGCAGAGAAGAAAACAACAACAGUGUGUCAUUGGACACAUUUUUCAACAUGAUUUAUGUGCUGGAACACAGGAACCUUAUUUGCUGAAAUGUUAUUUGAUAUUUGGAUCACCAAAAUAAUUCAUCAUUUGGAUAAACGUGAAUUGUUGCUAAGUUGCUUUUGGAAUCCCUAUAGUAGUGACCUGCAUAUCUGGGUGCCUGAAUACUUUUAUGAUUCAAAUCCCUGAAAACUUUCAUCUCCCAAACCUCUCAGGAGGCCUUCAUGCCUCGAGGGCAAAGCAUGGAUGCUGCUGAUAUUGUGCAGCCAUUCCAAAUAACAGUUUAGGAAAUAAACUGAAGAAUCUCAUUGUUAAUGGAACUUCAAAGGAAAUUCAGGCAAUGCAGAAUGGAGAAGGGAAGAGCAGAUAUUUUGUAUUUAUAGUAGACAGCUUAUCUGACAGAUUUAGCUCCUCUCGCUGCUUCAGCCCUACUUGUGAACAGCUUUCAUUCAUCUCAGAUGUUUUUGUUAUUCAAAAGCUCUUGGUCUGUAGAAUGUUCUCGAGCCGCUCCUUGUGAGUACUUAAUACAUGAAAGUAAAGAGUCAAACUGAUUCUUUGCUCUGAAUAAUUUCUAUGUAUUGCUUUGACUCAUCCACUUUCCUCAUCAUUUCAGAUCUCAGAGGAACACUUUUUCUAUUUCAUUCAUACAGUUUAAUUGCUCCCAACACUCUUUAUUGAUCUCUUUUUAUAUUGUAAUCCAUGUCUUUUCCAUCAUUUUCCCCCAUCCACUCCCCUCCUCUUCCUGGUCUAUUAUUAUUACUUGACUAAUUUUUUAGAAUUGUACUAUAAUUACUCAGAGCAGGCACUUGUUACUGUUGUGCAGAGCACUUUGCAAACAUGUCGUGUUGUAUAAAUAAGAAUUACAGCUACAGAAAUACUUAUACUGCAAAAUGGUUGAGAGACUAAUAUAUACCAGAGACACUCUAUGAAAUAGAAUUAUUUAUUAUAAUUAUCCCAUCUCUGGUACUGACAUUCAAAAGUAUUUUAGGUGAAUCACUCUCCUUCUCUAUUCUGUUUUUUUUUUUUUUUUUAGCUGACUCAGACUUGCAAGAAAUGUUGGGGAAGUGAUAGCAUUGGUUUGUUUCUAGGCACUCUAGAAAUCUUUUGAAUAUAACAUCUACUUUCUUCUCCUGCUUUCUACUGGCGUACCUCUCAGCCUUUGAGUAAAGGAAAUGAGUUUUGUUUUACAGCUGGGGAAGCAAACACAGAAAAGUGAAACUGGGGCCCUUGGGGACACCUGAAGCAUGUCUGUGAGCACAGACCAAGUCUCCAGUGCUCUCAUCACCUGACAUUUUUAAUGGGCAAUGCUUUUCCACAAGGUAAGUUAUUGGACUGAGAAGGACUGUUAUGUGCAGUGUUGUAUGGCAGCUUUCUCUUCUCUGAAGUGAUGCUUGCAGUCUGUUAAACCUGGGAAAAUAAUGGAAAAUAGAGAUCCCUCCAAACCCUUCUGGAUUUGUAAUUUCUACAUAUGAAGUAUUUACUUUUCUUCUGCCCAGAAAUGAAGCCAAAAUAGAAACCUUAAGGGAUUCUCUUAUUUUUCCUAAGAAGGCAAACAAACCAAAUCUUACUAAGCUAGCCAUCAGUCAUACCCUGGUGCACCUUGCCUGCUGCUGGUUCUGCAGCUCUCUGCUGCUCUAGUCUGGCUGAUACAUACUCAGCCCACCCAGAAGUAAGGGUGAUGGAAGCAGUGAGCGAUUUAUCUGUCAGUCCAAAGAGAUGGUCCCUAAACAACACCUCAGAGGAAACUCAAAAGCUUUGAUGGUUUCUGUGAAGAUGUUCUGCUAGAACAUUCCUUCCCGCGCACAUCUUGAACUGGAACACUUUGUCUUUCCUAAGCAGGCUGCCUGGACAGGAGGGAUGCUGUGCCGCAUGACACUUUGGUAGGAUCUCUUCCCUACCCAUCCCACAUAGUUGCAGAGCUCUCACUAUACCACAAAGUAUUGUAUGUAUGAAAUGUGGAAAGAAUGCCUUUUAGAAAAGCAUGUAGCUCAAAGCAUGCAGACUUUACCAUCACAAUUGAUACCUGGAGUUUCAAAGAGGAAGGGCAGUGUUUUCAAAGAUGUGUUUUUUGAGGUUUGCUGCCUGGCCUCUGGCAUUUUGAGGCUGAUCCCAAGGACUGCACCUUACUGGCUGAGUGAGGCAUAUGGUCCCACAGCAGAGCGUGGCAUGUACAUGGUUAAAUAAACAGGUGUUUUGAGGCCUUGAAUUUGGGGCAGAGAUAUGAUAAGAACCUGCGUGGACUUAAGUCCUACUUUGGUCUCUUUGUAAGUCAUGGACUUUAUCAGGAAUGGUACGAUGUUAGUGCCUGAAGUCAGGAGAAGAAUGCAGAUGUGCUUUGAUAGGGCCUACAGUGGGAAAUAAGAAGCCCAACUGCAUGCAAAAAAAAAAAAAAGACCCCAUUGCAUGAGGAAAUCUCCACUUUGAAGGGUUUGCAUUUGAAAACUUAUAUUUUCUUCAGUGAACUCCCUGGAAGUGUGAAGGUAGUGAAAAUCCAUGGCUUAUGGCUUUUUCUACUGUCACCUAAAAGUUAGAGGAAGCAAAUUCCAUGUUAAAGCUUUAAGAUCUGUGCAAGCAAUACAAAAACAAAGUAGGUUAGUCUGCUCUGAAACAGCAUGCGACUUGUGGUGGUCUCCUGAGAAACACUUCCUAUUUCUGUUUGGAGAAUGUGUGGCUACACAGUGAUUGGGGGCCCAUCAGAAAAAGAUGGAGGGGAAAAAGGGGAAAUGAGUUCCUUCAAUUUCUUUAUAAGCUUCAGGAUUGUUCCUCAGUUUUCUGACAGAAGCCUGUUUUGAAUGUACAUCUGUGAGGGAUUUGUUAUAUAGAAUAGACAGGAGAUGCACUGUGUUUAUUUACCCAGAGAGAUGAAAUUCUCAAUUCCCGGUUGCGGGAUGUCCUCAGGCAUGCAGAAGAGGAGAGGGGGGGGAAAAAAGAGGGAGAGGCAAUUUCAUAAGCCAGGUGGUUUAACUCUGCUCUGAAAAGCUGGAUCCCAUCCUCCAUUAGUUCCUAAGUAAUACCAGACGAGUCGUGGAAUUAAACUGGAAGAAAAAUAGGAGUUUCUGAUUUCCCAGGUGCUCCUUUAAUACACUGAGGCUGGAUUUACAGAAGGGAUGAGUGUUCACAAAUGAAAUGUAAAUAUAAGAAGCUGUAUGGAGCAAGAAUCUCUGGAGGAAAAGAGAAGUGACAAGGCUCAAAUUUAUGAUUCCUUUUGACUGUGACACGUCUGGGCAUCAAACCCCAGUCUGCGGAGUGAGAUCUGAUUUCACUGGGGAUGACUGUGCUCACAGCAGUAUUUGUGAUGCGCUCAGACACUGCUGUAAUGACUGCAUUAAGAGUCCCUGAAGAAAUAAGUCAUCCUUUUUUUCAGUCUGACAACUUUACCAUAAAUAAAACACAAUUUAGAGUGGGGCUCUGCUGGACUGGGGUGGGUGAGUGUGGAACAAGCCUGAGUAUGUCUGUGCUGUACUCUGAGUGUGCCCAAAGACAAGACUGUGGUACCAAGCAGACAUGAUUAUGCCACUUUUGGGGAUGUUUAUGUAUGUUGGGGUGUGAUACUUCACCAAAUGAAUAAAUCCUUCCAGAACUGGUGUGGUGCAGAGACAUCUAAGCUGGCUCUGGAUACACAUAUAAAGG